CAAUGCUGUUGCAGUAUGUGGGGUGUGCUGAAUGAGAGCCCACAGCAGCUGUUUCCCCGCGGGAUGGGUGACUGUAGCUCCAAAAACAGCUUGACAGCUGGAAGUCUUCAUCACCGAUUUGGUUAUUUUAUCCCAUCCUGGUGCAUGACAAGCUGAGAGAUGCUGCGCUCUAGCUGGGUGUCACAGCCAGACCCUCGGUGCCUACAGAACUCGGCUGGAAUGUCUUGGAUAGGACAUCAAACUUCCUGAAUAAUUGGCAACGUGUCCGUAAUUGGUUUCAGAUGCUCCCAGCUUGGAAUUCUCUAACCUUAUUAUGUCACGGAAUUCCGAAAGGCAACCGUUCUCCCGGAGGAAGGCUAGGUUCACGGAUUGACCUCUUGGCCUUUUGAACCCACCUUGAAAUCAGGACCUGGUUACCUGCACAAGUCAGCCUACUGUUGGUCACGGCCUGGGAUGCCUGGGUCCUCACUGUCAUGCUGGGUCUGUCCAGGAGGAAUGUUGUUGUAGCUGCUUUUUGGUUUGUUUAGCUCUUUUUCUUGGGAGUUUUCAGUAAGUCAGCUGAAUACUAAGGCACUCAGCAGCCCCACAGGAAGACACUGUCG
rnacentral:lncRNA from 1 species